CAUCCUUGGUCUCAAGUCUAGAUCAAGAGGUAUAAGACUAAACCUUCACUUUGUUCUUCUCUAAAAUGUUUUGAUGCAUUAUAUAUAAACCUAUGAACCUUGAAGGGGAUUUGCAUGACUAUAGCUUUGAUAAUUUGUGUUCAAUGCUUCCGCUGCUUUCGUAUAUAAAAUUUGAUUUGUAUAUGCAUGAUAGUCAUUUCGAAAUCCCUAUGUGUAAAACUCAUAAUUUUCCCUUCAAGUGGUAUCAGAGCCAAAGGUUUAUGUAUAAUGUGUCCUUUUGGAUUUUAUGCAUAUGGGUAUUAAUAUUAUGUAUGACAAGAUUAUUGUUUCAUUCAAAAUAUGUUUAUCUUUUGUUUUUCAAUAGUUGAAAAAUGUUAGUCAAAAGUUGAGAAAGAUAUGUAUGCAAAAAGUGUUUUGUAUGAAUGAAUGAAAAUUGAGUUUAGAACUAGUUUGACAUAUUAUUUCUUCAUUCAAAGUAUGUUUAUCUUUUGUUUUUCAAUGGUUGAAAAAUGUAAAUCAAGAGUUGGAAAAAGAUAUGCAUGUAAAAAGGUGUUUUGUAUGCAUGAAUGAAGAGUAAGUUGUGAACAAAAUUUGGGGUUUUGUUCCUUGUGGUAGGCAUGGCAUUAAGGGGGUUUUUGGGCAUGUCUUUGUGUUUUAUUGUAAGACACUCACACAUCAUUUUAAAGCUAGAAAGUAGAUCCCUUGUCACUUUAGUUUUUAGGGUUUGAAAAAUCACCAAGAAUACACAAAUCUUGAAAAAAGUGUUCAUGGUUUUGUUCUUGGUGUUCAUAGUUUGGUUUUUGGUGAAAAUGGUUUUAAUUGGUUUUCUUGUAUUGUUUUGUGGUUUUGGAUGAUGUUCAUACCAUCCAUAACCAUUUCAUAUAUUUAAUUAAUCCUAGACUUGACUAGGAAAUUUCCAUCAAACCUUUUCACCUAAGUUUUAAUGCCAAAACCAAGUGACAAGCAAAAUUUAAUUUUUCUACUUUGCAUUGAAUUAAAGCAAGAUGGGUGAGACUUCCCAUCUCCCCUUAAUGUGGCCGGCCACCCUAGUGGAUUUAUCCACUUGUGGGGCUUUUUGUAAUUUGGAAAAAGAUAUUUUAUACUUUUGAUUAUUUACAGUUUGACCCCUAACUUUUUCUUAUUUGCAUUUAGGCCCCUACUAACUAGAAAGUUAAAAUAUUUGAUUUUAAUUUUGUUAGUUGUUUAAACUCAUAAUACUAUUAUGCCCAUAUGCACUAAAUCUAAAUGUUUAUGUUGCAUUCCAUUUUGAUUAUUUAAUAUGAUUAAGUAGUUAGAAAAUGGAUGACUUUGGACUUAUGCCUUAAACGAUAAUUGAGCUAUGAGAUAAGGCGCUAAAAUCAAAUUGUUUGAACCUUGGGAAUGUGUUUUAAUUACUGUUUUAAUUACUGUUUUAAUUGGACCUUGUCACGUUUGACGUUAAUCUAUCUCUCCCCUUUUAGUAUGUGUAAUUUGUAGGAAUUUGUACAAAUCGGUUUGUAAUUCUUAUUACUUCUUAAUCUCUUUUAGUUAGUUGAUUCCCUCUAGUGCUAGACUAGAGUUUCUUUAACUAUUGGUAAGAAGACAUAACUAAAAGAGGGUUUUGACAUGAGAUUAAAGAUUAAAUGGGUCCAAUGCCCUAAUUACCAAUGAAUGAUUGUCUUUCAUUUCUAAUGGCUCAAUGAAAAUGUUUUAAUUGGAUUGAUAAGCACGUAAUUAAAUUGACACAACCUCCCCGAGUUUAUAUUCAACAAUGUUGGCUCGUUGUUGCAAUAACCUAAUAAGUCCAUGGUCAUCCAAGAGCCUAAGAUAACUAUAAAGUCCAAAUUCAAAGGAAUGCAAAAACCUUAGUAGUAGUAGUUACUUCCAAUAUUUGAAAAAUUCGUUUUUGAUAUUGAUUUGUUUUUCUUAAAACAAAUAGUGGGAGUAUCAUACGCUACUAAAAUAUAAUGAAUACAAUUAGUAGUUAUAUAUAUCUCCAAUAUUUUGAAAAAUGUUUUGAUAUUGAUUUGUUUUAUGUAAACGAAUAGUGGGGAUAUUAUAUGCUACUAAUUUCAUUAACUUUGGACUAGUAGUUGUAAUAGGACAUUAUUUAUUUGAAUGUGAUUAAAUAAAUAAAAAUGAUGAGACCUUAAAAUCCCUCAACCAACUAUCAUAUUAAGUUGUAAACGUAAGAGUGCUUAGAACACUUUUUCGUGGCCUUCCACCAUGGUAGGCUCCAAGCGUUUAUGACUUGUACACCGCCUUCACCCUAUCAUGGGGAAGUACAAAGUGCAUGCUUAUAUUCAGGAGGAGUUUAUUUAAAACAUUUGAUGAGGUUAAGGUAGGCAACGAGUGUGGCCAACAUCGUAUCAUCGUGAGGUCAUGCUUGAACCCCUAGCUAAACCGGCAUGGUGGGAAAGAACUUAACUAAGAGAAAUGAUGCCAACAUCGUAUCAUCGUGAGGCAUUGUUUUCUAGAGGCCAAAAAGAUGGGUAAUCACAAGAGGUUGUUGUGAAUGGGUAAGUGUACCCUCUCAUUAUUAUUGUUGCUAGCCGACAUCGUAUCAUCGUGAGGUGGGCUUGGUAAUAGU
rnacentral:lncRNA from 1 species